ensembl:lncRNA
GGAGGGUGGGGCGCCAGUAAAGAUUUCUUAAUGUGCUCUCCGUCCUCCCGUCCAUCUGCUGAUGAUAAACACUCAGCUAUCCGCCUGGCUACUCCCUUUGCCGCGGUCUAUUAUCAAUACUUUGACUUAUUGGCAACGGGAACUACAAAAUGGGUCUUUGGAUUAUAUCGACAGUUUUAUGCAAAUACAACACUUCUGACUACAAACAAUUUAGGAAUAUUAUUCUCUAACUGGAUUUCUGCAACUUUGGAGCGGUGUGUCAUUACGCAUGGAUACGGUUCUCAAUGGGACACUCCUAGGCUUCUAAAACCCUUCUCCUCCGGUAAGAUGCCCUCUUUGCACCACGGAGCGAUCGUUAUCGGAGCGCUCCUGAUCGUGACCGGGGGCUCCACCGCCUUUCUGACCUCAUACCAGAGCCGGUUGCAGGCCUUCUCUCUCUGCUGUGUGGUGCUUGGGGUCGUCAUGCUCAUCCUGGGACUCUUCUGGGCCAUGAACAGUAAGACGACCACGAAUUACAACCAUCAAGAGUUUGACCCGGAGUGCCCUCACUAUCCGUACAACGACUACCCCAACUUCAGCAACCACGCGCUCUUCUCUCCCCCGGGCCGCCGCUUUGUAGAGUCACAGUCAACCUUUCUGCCAAGGAACAUGGAUCGUCACAGAUGUGGUGCUCACAGGGAGGAUUUCGACUACCCUCCGAUGGAGCAGGGUGGCUUCAGUCCCACCCCCAACCCCCCGCCUUGGCUGGGACCCCCACCUCCAUAUGAAGUGGCUAUAAAGACCACAUGUAGCUCCACUCACCUGCGCAGGGCAUACUCCGACACACAGCUGGCCUCAGAACCACUGUUUGGACAAUCCAGGGAGAUCAGCUUUGAGGUGUAAAGUUUCACACUGGACCCAAAAAAGAACAAACUGAAAAGGAGACAUAUACUUUUAAAAGCAUGCAAGAUGUGAUGGAGAUACAGGCAUGCUCUUGUGCAAAGUGGCCUAUAAGAAACAGAAUAAAAAAGACAAUUGAGUUACAAAAGUCUGGACAUAAUGAGACAAAGUGCACUAAGAGGUCCAUUAAAGUUUUUCUAAC